rnacentral:rRNA from 1 species
AACGAACGCUGGCGGCAGGCCUAACACAUGCAAGUCGAGCGGACCCUUCGGGGUUAGCGGCGGACGGGUGAGUAACGCGUGGGAAUAUGCCCUUCUCUACGGAAUAGUCCUGGGAAACUGGGGGUAAUACCGUAUACGCCCUUUGGGGGAAAGAUUUAUCGGGGAAGGAUUAGCCCGCGUUGGAUUAGGUAGUUGGUGGGGUAAUGGCCUACCAAGCCGACGAUCCAUAGCUGGUUUGAGAGGAUGAUCAGCCACACUGGGACUGAGACACGGCCCAGACUCCUACCGGAGGCAGGCGUUGGGAAUCUUAGGCAAUGGGGGCAACCCUGAUCUAGCCAUGCCGCGUGAGUGAUGAAGGCCUUAGGGUUGUAAAGCUCUUUCAGCUGGGAAGAUAAUGACGGUACCAGCAGAAGAAGCCCCGGCUAACUCCGUG